GAUAGACUUGCUCUUAUGANUUAGCGGCGGACGGGUGAGUACACGUGGGUACCUGCCCAUAAGACUGGGAUAACUCCGGGAAACCGGGGCUAAUACCGGAUAACAUUUUGAACUGCAUGGUUCGAAAUUGAAAGGCGGCUUCGGCUGUCACUUAUGGAUGGACCCGCGUCGCAUUAGCUAGUUGGUGAGGUAACGGCUCACCAAGGCAACGAUGCGUAGCCGACCUGAGAGGGUGAUCGGCCACACUGGGAACUGAGACACGGCCCAGACUCCUACGGGAGGCAGCAGUAGGGAAUCUUCCGCAAUGGACGAAAGUCUGACGGAGCAACGCCGCGUGAGUGAUGAAGGCUUUCGGGUCGUAAAACUCUGUUGUUAGGGAAGAACAAGUGCUAGUUGAAUAAGCUGGCACCUUGACGGUACCUAACCAGAAAGCCACGGCUAANUACGUG
rnacentral:rRNA from 1 species